UCGAGCGGAGUUUUGAAAAGCUUGCUUUUCAAAACUUAGCGGCGGACGGGUGAGUAACACGUGGGCAACCUGCCCUUGAGACGGGGAUAACUCCGGGAAACCGGAGCUAAUACCGGAUAACACAUAUCUUCGCAUGAGGAUAUGUUAGAAGGUGGCUUUUAGCUACCACUCAAGGAUGGGCCCGCGGCGCAUUAGCUAGUUGGUGAGGUAACGGCUCACCAAGGCGACGAUGCGUAGCCGACCUGAGAGGGUGAUCGGCCACACUGGGACUGAGACACGGCCCAGACUCCUACGGGAGGCAGCAGUAGGGAAUCUUCCGCAAUGGACGAAAGUCUGACGGAGCAACGCCGCGUGAGUGAUGAAGGUUUUCGGAUCGUAAAGCUCUGUUGUUAGGGAAGAACAAGUAUCUGUUGAAUAAGCAGGUACCUUGACGGUACCUAACCAGAAAGCCACGGCUAACUACGUGCCAGCAGCCGCGGUAAUACGUAGGUGGCAAGCGUUGUCCGGAAUUAUUGGGCGUAAAGCGCGCGCAGGCGGUUCCUUAAGUCUGAUGUGAAAGCCCACGGCUCAACCGUGGAGGGUCAUUGGAAACUGGGGAACUUGAGUGCAGAAGAGGAGAGCGGAAUUCCACGUGUAGCGGUGAAAUGCGUAGAGAUGUGGAGGAACACCAGUGGCGAAGGCGGCUCUCUGGUCUGUAACUGACGCUGAGGCGCGAAAGCGUGGGGAGCGAACAGGAUUAGAUACCCUGGUAGUCCACGCCGUAAACGAUGAGUGCUAAGUGUUAGAGGGUUUCCGCCCUUUAGUGCUGCAGCAAACGCAUUAAGCACUCCGCCUGGGGAGUACGGUCGCAAGACUGAAACUCAAAGGAAUUGACG
rnacentral:rRNA from 1 species